AGCCCGGAUUGGAGUGUUCUCGCUUUCUGGUUUGAGGGAGCGGAUCAAAUGACGUCAGCACUGCGGGCAGACAUUUUGGAAGCGGAAAAGCAUGGUGGAGCAAGAUGGCAAUCCCAGCCAUUAGAGCAUCUAAGGUAGGAGGAUCACAAAAUCAGCAUUAGCAACUUAGCAAGGUGUUAAGCAGCUUGGAGAAAGAUCCUGUCUAAAAAAAGAAAAACAAUACAAAUGGGAAGUGGCAAAUACUAUUUAAGAAAACCAAGUUAUAAAAACAUCCCUCCACCAGUUCAGUUUUGUGUUGUUGUUACACAUUGAGAAGUCCAUUGAUUCUCCAAAUUCUCCUUUGGGACAAUAAACAAGUAUUUUAACAAAAGUGGUUUCUUGUGGUCAAGAGUGUCUUCCUGAGGGAGUAAAGCUAAAAUUUGUACUGAGAAUUGGCAAUCAAGUGUUUAUUUCUAGCUCAUUCUGAGCUCCCUGGGACUCCAGGGCAAUUACAAUUGGUAGAUCCAUCUGACAAGGGAAAUGACAUUUUACAAGGGGAGAUUUGGUGUCCAAAAAUGAACAACACCUCAGCAUUCAUUUGGAUAUUUUGGCUUUUAACUUUCCUUUUUCAGCUAGUGAAAAAGGAAACCAAAAGGCUUUUUUCCCCAAGAAAAACCUUAAUCUUCUCACUUAUGUUUAUCAGUAUAUCUUAUUCAUUGCAUAACACUGGUUACAUAUAAAAAUUAUUUUUCAGGUUCUCUGCAAACCUAUUUACUAUACCCAACAAUUAGAAUAAUGCCUGAAUUCAACAUUAACCAGGGGAAGAAAAUUUGUAAUCCAUUAUCGUGGAUAAAUGGUGAUGAAGGAAAUGUUGACAUGGACCAUAAUCUCACCUUGAGAAACCUUAAGACAUGGCUUAUGCAUUUUUGUAUCCUUGCAACUCAGCACAGGUGGGCAGUUAAUAAAGUCAUCUAUAGAGUACAAGCCUGUUCACAAAUUAUAGUAUUUUCCUUAUCACAUUACACAUCUCUUGAUCAUCAGUCUACUGAGCAAUUUUAUUUGGCACAGCUCAACAAAUUACUCUGGCAAUAGUACAAUAUACUCUUAUUCAGUGUCCCUGGGUUCAGAGACAGAAUAAUAUAGCCAGAAUAGAAAGGGGGAUGCUAUUUUCUGGGAGCAAGAGAUUAUACAGCUGAUAAUUUUUGGGACCAUCAAAUCAGCUAAUAGCUAAUGGUGGGAGAAGGGGGGGUCCCAAUGUAUAAGGCAAACCCAAUAAAACAAAUGUAUCUGUCAUGGAUAGAGAAAAGAGUAUUUGAAUAGUCAACUUGGGCUAAAUCUAUGCAACACUGCAGUACUUUCUGUCUGUGUAAUGUGUCCUAGACACAUUGAAACAAAGCUAGCAUUCAACCAUACAUCUUUAUUGCCUUAUUUUAACAUUUCUCCAAUUAAAAGGGUUACAUCAGAAGGCAUUAUUUCUGAGAAAUGAACUUUCAUUUUAUUUUGGCACAGGAAAUCAAACCCAGAGCACAUGUAUGCUAACCAAAUAGUCUACAAUUUUGAUCAAUACCCCCAGCCCCAAGAAAUGAACUUGAAAUUGUCUUAAAUUCUCAACUUUACUGUACACCUAUUACCAUGUGGACCCAACAUGCCUGUUUAGGAGCAGAAAUCCAACACCAUCUGAGUUAUAGACA